rnacentral:tRNA from 1 species
UGGGGUGUAGCCAAGCGGUAAGGCACCGGGUUUUGGUCCCGGCAUUCGGAGGUUCGAAUCCUCCCACCCCAGCAA